AGAGAUUUAAGUUAAUAGACUAAAGGCCUUCAAAGCCUAAAGAAGAAGCUUAA
rnacentral:tRNA from 2 species